CAUCUGUACCAAUUAUUUAACAUUUCAUCUUUAUAGGUUAACUUUGAGACUUGACAUAUAUAUCGUGACUAGAGUGGUCUACGAAUGGAAAUUUUGAGAUUAUUUUCUUAGACACAUAUGAUCUAGUCACUUCAAAAUAAACAUUUGUUUGAUUUUCUUUUUUAAAAAUAAACUGGUUAGUUAUAUAUAUAUAUAUACAUGAAAAAUGUGUAAUAAAAUAUUGACUUGCCAUGAACGUAGUUCCAGAAGACGAUAGAGCCGACUGUGCCCCAGUCACCUUCGUGCAGAUCACAGCUCUGAAUGUUUCCUGGAGUUGCUUUAGAGACAUGGUGUGGUUUCCCGGCGAACAUGUGAUGGAACUUCUCAGCGGAAGCUUUGAUCUCCACCUCUGUCUCAAGUGUCUCUGUUGUCUUCACCUCUUCUUCCUCGGAUAAGAGAUGUUCGUCGAUCUCUUGGGAGACCUCAACACAGAAUUGGAGGAGAGUUUCGGGAUGAGCUACCUCGUCGCUGAUUUUCUCAUACUCAAGGUGCCAAUGCACAAUACUUCCAGGCCCUCCAUGCUUAGGGGUCACCUGGAUCGUGAUCAAAAAGCUCUUGUACUCUUUCAUCAGAUCACCUUCUAUAACCCUAAACGUGAUCAAGUUCUUCUCCGGCUCCACCGCCUCGAUUCUCUCCUUCGCCACCUUUGCCUCCCCAUCUGCACCAAUUAUUUUAUAAUUUGUAAGUCUGACUUUGAGUUUAAUUUGAAAAUAAGUUCAAAAAUAUAUUAUAAGAUAUAAAAAAAAAACUUUCAUUUGAGGCAAAAAAGAAAAAAAAUAUGUAUAAGGUUGACUUACCGUGAACGUAAUUCCAGAAGACGAUAGAGCCGACAGUGCCCCAGUCGCCUUCGUGCAGAUCACAGCUCUGAAUGUUGCCUGGACUUGCUUUGGAGACAUGGUGUGGCUUCCCGGCAAACAUGUGAUGAAACUGUCCAGCCGAAGCUUUGAUCUCCACUUCUGUCUCUAGCUUCCCCACCAAACU
rnacentral:lncRNA from 1 species